rnacentral:rRNA from 1 species
UUGUACCUACGGGACGCAGCAGUGAGGAAUAUUGGUCAAUGGGCGAGAGCCUGAACCAGCCAAGUCGCGUGAGGGAGUACUGCCCUAUGGGUUGUAAACCUCUUUAGGCGGGGAGCAAUGCCGGGCACGUGUGCCCGGAGGGAGAGUACCCGCAGAAUAAGCAUCGGCUAACUCCGUGCCAGCAGCCGCGGUAAUACGGAGGAUGCGAGCGUUAUCCGGAUUUAUUGGGUUUAAAGGGUGCGUAGGCGGAUUUUUAAGUCAGCGGUAAAAUGUCCGGGCUCAACCCGGGCCGGCCGUUGAAACUG